rnacentral:rRNA from 1 species
UACGUAGGUGGCGAGCGUUGUCCGGAUUUACUGGGCGUAAAGGGAGCGUAGGCGGAUUUUUAAGUGAGAUGUGAAAUACUCGGGCUCAACCAUUGUAUGCAUUGGAAACUGGCAGACUUGAGUGCAGGAGAGGAGAGUGGAAUUCCAUGUGUAGCGGUGAAAUGCGUAGAUAUAUGGAGGAACACCGGUGGCGAAAGCGGCUCUCUGGCCUGUAACUGACACUGAGGCUCGAAAGCGUGGGGAGCAAACAGG